AUUGAACGCUGGCGGAAUGCUUUACACAUGCAAGUCGGACGAGUGGCGAACGGGUGAGUAACGCAUCGGAACGUACAGAGUAAUGGGGGAUAACUGUCCGAAAGGACAGCUAAUAACGCAUAUUAUUCGAGCGGCCGAUGUCUGAUGAGCUGGUUGGCGGGGUAAAGGCCAACCAAGGCGACGAUCAGUAGCGGGUUUGAGAGGAUGAUCCGCCACACAGGGACGGAGACACGGCCCAGACUCCUACGGGAGGCAGCAGUGGGGAAUUUUGGACAAUGGGCGCAAGCCUGAUCCAGCCAUGCCGCGUGUCUGAAGAAGGCCGUCGGUUUGUAAAGGACUUUUGUCAGGGAAGCGGUACCUGAAGAAUAAGCACCGGCUAACUACGUGCCAGCAGCCGCGGUGAUUC
rnacentral:rRNA from 1 species